AACGAACGCUGGCGGCAUGCCUAACACAUGCAAGUCGAACGAGACCUUCGGGUCUAGUGGCGCACGGGUGCGUAACGCGUGGGAACCUGCCCUUAGGUUCGGAAUAACUCCCCGAAAGGGGUGCUAAUACCGGAUAAUGUCUUCGGACCAAAGAGUUAUCGCCUUUGGAUGGGCCCGCGUUGGAUUAGCUGGUUGGUAGGGUAAAAGCCUACCAAGGCGACGAUCCAUAGCUGGUCUGAGAGGAUGAUCAGCCACACUGGGACUGAGACACGGCCCAGACUCCUACGGGAGGCAGCAGUGGGGAAUAUUGUACAAUGGGCGCAAGCCUGAUCCAGCAAUGCCGCGUGAGUGAUGAAGGCCUUAGGGUUGUAAAGCUCUUUUACCCGGGAUGAUAAUGACAGUACCGGGAGAAUAAGCUCCGGCUAACUCCGUG
rnacentral:rRNA from 1 species